GACGAACGCUGGCGGCGUGCUUAACACAUGCAAGUCGAACGGAAAGGCCCUGCUUUUGUGGGGUGCUCGAGUGGCGAACGGGUGAGUAACACGUGAGUAACCUGCCCUUGACUUUGGGAUAACUUCAGGAAACUGGGGCUAAUACCGGAUAGGAGCUCCUGCUGCAUGGUGGGGGUUGGAAAGUUUCGGCGGUCGGGGAUGGACUCGCGGCUUAUCAGCUUGUUGGUGGGGUAGUGGCUUACCAAGGCUUUGACGGGUAGCCGGCCUGAGAGGGUGACCGGCCACAUUGGGACUGAGAGACGGCCCAGACUCCUACGGGAGACAGCAGUGGGGAAUAUUGCACAAUGGGCGGAAGCCUGAUGCAGCAACGCCGCGUGCGGGAUGACGGCCUUCGGGUUGUAAACCGCUUUCGCCUGUGACGAAGCGUGAGUGACGGUAAUGGGUAAAGAAGCACCGGCUAACUACGUG
rnacentral:rRNA from 1 species